rnacentral:lncRNA from 1 species
GCCAACCUUUGACAAUUACUUCCCGUCGCCAGCCAUGUGCUGGCAACAUUCGUUUUUUAUCCCUUGUCGCCAGCCAUGCGCUGGCAGCUUUUCCUCCAUUUUUUUUCUUGGUUGUGUUGCUCUAGCAAUGCUUAGCAACAUUUUCUUUAUAACUUUCCAACAAUUUGAUAAACCCUAUUCAUCUCUAUGAUUGAAAUUUAAUACCCUAAUCCUACUAAUCCAAACCCAAAUCUUCCUAAAUUUCUCAUGCAAGCAUAAAUAUAUCUCGAUGUACAUAUACCUGAAAUUUUCAAAAUAAUUCAUGGAAUUAAAUAGACAUAAGAGAAAAAGAAUUUUAGCGUGCGUUCGAAACUUAUAGGUCCAAGCGUUUAAUCGUCUGCUUGUUCGACGACGAUAUCCUCUUCUUCUCCUUUACUCUAGGGGAGGCAGACGAAAGAAAGAUAUGGAUGGUGUUAUUUUUUUUUUCUCUCUAUUGUUUUGAUAAAACUCUAAACCCUAGCACUACCCACUAGUAGGUGGUUUAGAUAAGCGUUUUAAUUUAUUAUGAACUCUUAUCUCCUUACUAACCCCUAAUUACUCCUCUACCCUAUCCUACUAAUAAGUUUUAUAUAUUAUUUUUUUUCAUACCCAUAGUAAUUUUAUCUUUUUAAUUAAUUGACAAAAAUCAAGUAAUAAAAAAAAUGAGCAAGGAUGUGGGAUUUUACAUUCUACCCCCUUACAAAAAGUUUCAUCCUCGAAACUUACGUACCUUGAUAAAAAAGAUAGGGGUAUCUAUUAUGCAUGUCCUCCUCCAAUUCCCACGUUGCCUCUAGCGAUGUAUGGUUCGUCCAUUGCACCUUGAUGUAGGAUAUGGUCCUUCUCCUUAGAAUUUGAUCCUUUCGGUCCACGAUUCUUAAAGGAACUUCCCCCACUGAUAAGUUCUCCCUCACUUCGAUGGGUUGAUCCUCCAAAAUAUGGCUCGGGUUUGAUACAUACUUCCUCAGUUGGGAGAUAUGAAAAACAUUAUGUAUCCUUGACAAAGAAGGUAGGAGAGCCAAUUGGUACGCUAGAGGUCCAACUCUAUCUAGUAUUUCGUAAGGCCCUACAUACCUCAGAGUUAACUUGCCACUUGUUCCAAAUCUCAUCACUCCUUUGGUAGGGGAUACUUUCAAAUAUACCUUUUCUCCUAGUUGAAACUCUAAAGGUCUUUUCUUUGAAUCUGCCCAACUUUUGUUUCGGUUUUGAACUACUUUUAGUCUUUCUCAAGCAAUCUUAAUUUUCUCCAAGGUUCUUUCCACUAAAUCGAGAAUAGUGAUCGACUUCUCACCUACUUCAUCCCAAUAUAAGGGGGAUCUACACUUUCGUCCAUACAAUGCUCAAACGGUGCCAUACUAUACCGCUAUAAUAACUAUUAUUGUACGAGAACUCCAUUAGUUUCACCAACCUAUCCUAAUUAUCCGAGAAGUCUAGAGCACAAGUUCUGAGCAUGUCCUGCAGUAUCUGUAGGGUCAUUUUCGACUAUCUAUCCGUUUGGGGGUAGAAGGUGGUACUAAAUCUCAGGUGAGUCCCCAUAAUAUCUUGGUAGGUCGACCAAAAAUCUAGACGUGAUUUAGGAUCCCAAUUCGACACUUUCGCAACUUAUUUUUAGACUAGAUAUCACAUUCUCUCCCCCUUUAAAGGUUUUGUUCUCGAAACCUAAAAAACAUAAAUAUCAAAAUAAGUUAACAAAAUUUUCAAUGUUCUUGCAACACAUCUUGGGAAUUAUUCCUAUAAUAUCUAAAUUGGAUUUCCUUAUUUAAUUUCAUCAAACUUCUGCUACGCACUCUUAUUUUUUUCUCAAUACCUCCCAUCUUGAUAUUUAUAUAGUUCAGAUGGACAUAAUGUCUCUCACAAAUCUGGCAUUCGAAAUAUCAGUUUAUAAUACUCCAUAGAGAUCAACCUUUAUAAAGGAUGUCAUAAACAUUAACAGUAUCAUUUCUUCUUUUGACACACAUUCUAUCACAACUUAUUCUCACAAAAAGUAGUCAUUACCUCGAUAUAUGGGUUCGUGCCCAUUGUGUUUGUAAUUGGUAAUGGAGAUUUCUUGUUUUCCUCAAAUCUCAUUUCAAAUUCCAAAAAAAAAGAUCAAUAAUACCUCAAAUAGCAUCAUACCUAUUUCCAGAUCCUAUAAACUGAGUUGUUGUACCACUAAAUGCCACGGAAAUCUUAUUUCCUUCAUUUUUUUACCUCAAUUCAAUUUUCAAAACACAUAUUCAUAUUAUGGUACCAAAACACACAAAAUUUCAUACAACAAUUAUCGCCAAAUUCUCAUAUUUGAAUAUAAUAACUUUACCAUAACUUUAGUAAAGUAUUUAUCUAUGCAUAAAAUUUCGAACUCAUACAAGUUUAGGAACCUGAAAAUGUUUGAAACACAUGAGUUAGUUAAUUGUGCUUCUUGCACCAUUAGAACUUAGAGUAUGAAGAAAAUUUAUCAAGAAUUAUUGUUAGAUUAUUUCUAUAUGAUAUGAUUUUUUUUAAUGUAGAAUACAUUUAUCUAUAGCUCUUUUUGAGAUUAGAUGAGUAUUAUAAAAACAUUUUGUUCAGGUUUAUAAGAUACAAUUAUUUAUGGUGUUUAUUCUUUUGUUAUUGUUAAUUUAUGUAUCUUAAUGUAUUCAUAUUUAUAGAAAUUAUACUUAUUUGAUAAAUAUACUUAUUCAAAAAUCUUGAUUAACAUUUGUUCGCAAAAUAAUUUUUUUAAGAUAAGAACUAUGUAAGAUUUUGUAUUCUAAGAAAUUUCUAACAUAUUUAUUGACUAAGCACGAUGUAAUAAUCCAAUAAACUAGUUCAAUAAUUGUUUGGGCAUUGGAUCUAAUCAUUAUAAAUCUCAAAAAGAGACAAGUCUAUUCGCUUUUGACCACAUCUCCCACCGAAGGAAUACUACUGGUAGACUAUAUCAAUUUGUAUUUGAUAAGGCCAUACACCUAUUAGUUAUCUCCAGUAGUAGUAAUAGUUCAACUAGAUUAAAAUAGUAGCAACAUCAAUAGUACAUCUAUCCAGGUAAGAGCAUUAUUUAUAGAACUCGAUUACAAAUAGAAAAGAUCUGCAACAUUUCAUUCUUCAUCUUUUGAAGUGGUUUCAUCGGUCAAGAUAAGUCAAUAUAACCUCUAAUGUCGUUGUUACCCAUCGUGCAAUUAAUCCCAUACUACUUAAACUGGAUCUCUUUAUUUAAUUCAUCACGCUUGCUGCGUACUUUAAUUUCUUGAUACUUUUAAUUUCCUGUAGACACUACUUCAAAUAUAUAUCAUAUUUCCUACACAUCCGACAUCUUAAACUUACAAUGUACUACCAAAAUCAUAUACAAUUAAAGGAACAUCCUAAACACCAAUAGUACCAUUUCAACUUAAAUCACAUAUGCAAAUUUUCAAACCUAUUUAUUCAGUCACAAUUGAUCAUUUCCUAGUAUGUAUUUUCUCUAAAGAGUAAAUCGUACCCCAAGCUCAGUUAUCACUAAUAUUAUGGAAAUCUCUUAUUUCACAAUAUUCUAUCCAAUUUCAUUCCAAUUCCUAAAAUCACACAUAUUACAAACAUCGUUCAACAUACAUCUAGAUCGCAUAACCUAAACUUUGAUAAUAUUAAAAAUUACAAGAAUCUCUUAUUUCCUUUAAUCCUUUUUGUCUUUUCAUCUCAUUUCAAUACUCAAUACCCCUAAUAUCUCAAACACCAUUCAUAUACUUUCAGAUCAUAUAACCUAGGCUCUGAUACCACUAAAAAAUGUCAUAGGAAUCUCUUAUUUCCUUUGACCUGUUUUCCAUCUCCUUUCAAUUUCCAAAAUCAUUAAUAUCCAAAUAUCAUUUCUCAUACUCUCAGACCAUAUAACCUAGGCUCUAAUACCACUAUCCCGCGCGCACCCGUCACGUGGCAUCCGCCGUAUUCUCAAGUCUCACUCAAGAAUACAAGGAAACAUUUAACCAGACUAAACUUUAAAAGUACUAAAUGAUAUAACUAAAUAAAGUGCGGUACAAAGAUCAUAUAAAAGGUAGUCUAUGAAUACCCGAUAAAUUCGUACAUUUAUUCUCUAGUUGAAACAACGGAAACAGAGUAAAUAAAAUUAACAACUAGAAGUAGCUAGCUUGCUAAUUUCUGUUCACUUAAAAACUAAUAAAAGUCAUCCUCAGGGUCUUCUACGUAAAUCAACUUAUACUCUUCAGAAUCGGCAAAGAUGGUAAAAAGUGGGGUGAGCGACAAAUCGUUCAGUACAUAAUAUCUACCCCUUUGUUGGAUCAUGCACUCAUAACUUUAUAGAUACAUGUAUAGAUAUAAAUCAAAUCAUUUACACCUCGUUCACAUCCAUAAUCAUGAAAGUAACGUUGUUUAUAAAACCGUUAGUAGUAAUGAGUGAUAAGCAAUUUAAAAGUAUCUUAUUGAUAACUAUACAUGAAAAAUCAUAAAGUCGUAAAUUAUUUCAUAUCAAUUCAUAAGUCCCUUCAUAUCAGUUCAUAAAUCAUUUCAUAUCAACUCAUAAUAAGUACAUGUAAUGACUGGCUAUUGAGUACUCAGUUUAGAGAUUAAACCCCUUCUAGGUGGGCAACCAAUAGGUUUCAUGACUACCAAUUGUUCUCAUUACAUACAUGGGUCAAUCGGCCGGAUUCUAUACCAGACUAUCAUGACCUUGUCAAUCGGCCAAACUUUAUACCAGGCUACCAUGACCAUUAGACAGGACUAUAGCCUCUACCAUCUAUCCCGUGAUUGUUUUGAGCUUUUCUUUACACAAAUUCAUUUCACACGUCAUAUGCAUAGUUCUUGAUUUCAUAAAAAAUACAGCUCAGUUGGUAUAUAAUAAAAUAUCAAGAAGUUUCAAAUAAGUCACAUGGUCCAUUUUUGUAUAAUCAAAAUAGAAUUUGCUUAAACAGUCAAGUAAAUUAUUCAAUCAAAAACAAUUCAGAUUAACACGUAAAAAUAUAAUCGAUGACAAAAAUUUUCCUUUAAAUUUUUGAAAUCUCAGAAGGGUAGGUAUCACCUACCUUUGUCUGGCUGCUCGAGUGGAACUACUUUAGAUUUUUUAAAUUUGUGUCGUAGCUAUCAAACACAUAGGUUUCCUAAUUAGUUGACAUUUCCUAUAGAUGUAUACAUAUACAAACUCUGAGCAAGUCGAAGAUUCAUGUCUAGACCAUUAUAUGAACCCUAACAGCAUUUUUCUAAAUUGAAUGAUUUCUAUUUUUGGAAAGUUUUUAUUUUUAGAAAGUUUCUUAAUUUGGAAAGUUUUCCUUUUUGUAAAGUUUCCUAAUUUAAAAGAAAAUAAUUAUUCAUAAUUAUAUUUAUUAUAUUGACUAUUAUCUUACUAUACAUAUUUAUAAUUUAUUUUUAUUCAUUAUUACUAUUAUCGUCCUUGUUGUUGUUACUUUAUUUUAUUACCUUAUUUUAUUUCUUACUAUACAUAUAUACAUACAUAUAUAUAUUUGUUAAUUAGUUACCAUUAUCUUGCGCUUUACCUCCAUUUUUUUGUGCAUGUGUAGGUGUUAUUAUUAUUUAUGUAUAUAUGUACAUUGAUUUAUUAUUUACCAUUAUUAUUACUAUCAUUGUUUUAUUAAUUAUUAUUAGUAUUAUUAUUAUUAUCAUUAUUACUGGUAUUAUCAUUAUCAUUAUUAUUAUUAUUAUUAUUUUUUAAGCGUUUCAUUUAACAAUCUAGAACUUAUCUUACAUUGUCUAAAUUAAUCUAAUAAGACUAGAUUAAGAUGUUUUAAAUUUCUAUUUAAGUUUCUUAGACUUAAUCAAUUAAGCAUAAUUUUACAUGACUAACUUUUCAAUUCUAACAACUACUUUAAAUUUGGUCCUGAAUUUUAAUACCCACGAUAAACUAUAAAGAUGGGGUAUUUAUAUUUAAAAUUUAUUUAUAGUACAUUUACUAAAUUUUACAUUAUGUUUUGGUCCACUUCUAUUUGCCAUUUUUUUUCCUAGACUCUGACCCCAAUUGACAGUGACAGAACGAUAGCAGCGGUGACCAGCCACUAUUUUACCUAAUUUUUUUUUCUUACUUCCUUUUGGCCAACCCAUGAAAUCAAGCAAUAGCCGCCAGCAAUUGCUGGUGACCUUCUACCCCUUUUUUUUCUUAGGUUGGCCGAAAAGCCAACCUUUGACUCGCUAGCCAUGCGCUGGCGACAUUCGUUUUCUUUUUUUUUUUUGGCACUCAGCCAACCCUUUUCCCAUGUUGCAAGCCAUGCGCUGGCGGCUUUUUGUCCCUUUUUUUUUCUUGGCUGCGUUGCUCCAGCAACGCUUAGCAAAACAGCAGCGGCGGCGUCUCUGUUUUUUUUUUUUUUUUUUAACUUUCCAACAAUUUGAUAAACCCUAUUCAUCCCCAUGAUUGAAAUUUAAUACCGCAAUCCUACUAAUCCAAACCUAAAUCUUCCUAAAUUUCUCAUGCAGGCAUAAAUAUAUCUCGAUGUACAUAUACCCGAAAUUUUCAAAAUAAUUCAUGGAAUUAAAUAGAUGUAAGAGAAAAAGAAUUUUAGUGUGCAUUUAGAACUUACAGGUUUAAGCGUUUAAUUGUCUACUUGUUUGACGGCGAUGUCUUCUUCUUCUCCUCUACUUUUAGUUGAUUCUUGCUCUAGGGAGGCAGACGAAAGAAAGUAGGGAUGGUGUUAUUUUUUCUCUCUCUCUAUUAUUUUGAUAAAACUCUAAACCCUAGCACUAUCUGUGACGGCCCCACCUUCCCCUAAGGCGAACCAAAGGGUUCGGCGGACUGCCUGCCUAACUCUCGCCGGGACUCAGUCAUUCACCUCAAGGAAUUGAAGAUAAAAUUUACAAAACAAGCAAAUAACGAUCCCAAACUUAAAACAUAAACUUAUAUGCAUUCCUAUCUCCAAAGGAAUUACAAAAUUUAAAUAUACAAAGGUUUCCAAUUUCUCAUACAUCCAACCCUUGCCAAGUGCUAGGGUGAGAACCAUUACAAAAGAAUUCAAAGAACUAGACUAAGUUAGUCUAUACAGAGCUCUCGUCCUUGUUCGCAUCUCCUGUUAAGGAAAACAAAAUUAACGGAAUGAGCUAAAAGCUCAGUGAGGUUCCAAACACAUAAACAAACAAUGAGUUCAAUACAUUGACCAUAGAUAGCAAGUAAUUCAAGAAACAUGACAACAUAAAGCAAUAAUAACAUUCAUCAAAAGGAUACGUGCUCACAUGGAGCCAUUCAUUCAUUCAUUCAUUCUCCUUUCAUUUCCUUAUUCCUCCAAUCGUUUGAAAAUGCAUUUGAUAAGUAAAACCCUUCAUUUACAUUGACAUUCAUUCAUUCAUUUCAUUUCACCCCCUCCUGGACGUUGGUCAGGCUCCACCAGACUACAAGGUAAUACUCGAGUAUACCAAACAUUCACUCAGGGUCACUAAAUCGCCCGAUCGAGUCCACUUCUGGCUCGAGUCGAUCAGUAACGAAGGGCAAGGCCCAGUUCAGCCAAGAGGCUUACAUUCAUGCACAUAUAAUCAUUCAAUCAUUGAAAAUUUCACAUUCAUUUAGGUCGAGUGCGAUAAAGUACACACUCGCCUAGAAAGCUCAUUUUAAGCAAUCAGUGGAAGCAUUUAAUAUGUUAGCAUUCAUUCAUAACAAGUCAUAUAAUCAAGAACAAGCCACAUAGUCAAUGAAAAUAUAGCCAACAAGGAACACUUACCUAUUUAAGCAAAAUAGCGUCCAAAGUAUCCUUCCGGAUAACACCCUCAAUCACCAAAGAACUCUAAUAUAAUCAAAAGAACACAUUAUGCUUCAACCAUCAAAGAUUUAAGUGAUUCAAAGAAAAUUUGAAUACGUACUAGUACAAGGUAUAAAUAUGAUUUUGGUAGUGAAAAGAGUACAUUUAAACCAAAGGACAUAAGUAAAAUAUUUGUAAAACCUAUGCUCACUCGUAAAACUUUAAAAUCUCCAUUUGAGUCGAAGUGACAAAGAAAACGUAUUUCUAUUAGUCGUAAAUUUUAUUUUUCUAAGGGUACAAGUUUCGGCCAAGUUCUAACUUAUAUAUCUCAAUAAAAAAAAUGCAAAUAUCCUAAAUGGUUCAAGUGGUAUUCGUUCUCAAAUUCUUACGCAAGUCGCAAGUAUAUCUACCUGGUUCAAGCCCUUUGUAUUUACCUAUUUUCCAGCCAUUUAUGAUUUCAUUCUUUUCCACAAUCAGCCCCAAAGUUAUACACAAAAUUAUCUCAUUUCAAUAGCCGUUCAAUAGGCUCAAAGUCAUACAAGUACAAAAUCAAACUAGGAAAAUAUCCGGAAAUGAAGUUUAAGUUAUAAAAUAAAAGACAGAUUUGCCGUUGCUUAGCGUAACGGGUACAACCAAAGCUACGCUUAUCGGAUUGGGGUGAAAUUUAUACCGUUUUGAAGUUAGGACAAAGGCCUACAACUUUUAUGAAGACCACUCAGUCCAGUUUGUAGUGUAUCUAAGUCAAAGUUGCCAUUUACAGAACCAGAAUCUCACAUUCAGGCUAGUUAACCGCACUAUGCGUAACCGACAAUAACUCAGGCUACCGAAGUCCGAUUAAGGUGUUUUUAGGGCCGUUGGAAAGCUAAGACAUAUUACUACAACUUUCAUGUUUUGGAUAAAUACUAGUUCAGUACAUAUCAUGGUGAAAAGACACGGCCAGAUUGGUGAAAUAUCCAAAACGGAUCACUGGAUUCACCUAGGGCAGUCAGGGUAUUUUGGUCUUUUCAUAGGCUAUGUUACUCCGAUUGAGAUGAAAUUUUGCAGGAAACUAUAAAACAUCAUUCUCUACAACUUUUAUAUUUUAGGCUAAGCCUAAUUCGGCCUCUAACAUGGUGAAUUAGAACCGGGCAGAACAGGGUAUACCUUAACUUCAAUUCUGGAAAUUUGCUACAAUCAAGGUAUAAAUCUCAUUUUUAGCUUGAAACCAUCACUACCACCUCUUAUACCAACUUAUAUACAUCAUAUACCACCCAUACAACAAGUAUGAUAAGUGAAUCAUUCAAACCCUAACUCAAAUUCAUCACCCCAACCAUCUAAAAUCACUUGAUAUAAGCAUUACAACCACAAAUACAAGCUACUAAGCAACUCCAACAUGAUUAAGGAAAAAGAAAAGAGUGGUCAGCCAUAUUACCUCAAAAACAAAGCUUGCUUUCUCCCAAAAUAGCUCCACUCCAGCCCACCUUUCUUCCUUGUGGUAACUUCUUAUGAAUUGGUUUUUGGAUUAGAGAGUGAUUUCCUACUAGUUAUAGCUUGGAAUCAAGGUGAAAUUGGAGCAGUUUUUCUUUCUUUUGUUAUCUUGAAGGUUCGGCCAAGAGAGAUCAAAAUGAGGGAUGGUUGGUGAAAUUUGCAAGAUAAGGACUAGAAGUUUCAUUGGUCAAAGAAUGCCUUGACAAUGUCAACCCUUGGCUUUCCCUCAAUUGUCCUUUAUUUUGGCUUCUUUUCCUUUCUUUUCUAGUCAAGGAUUUCGGCUACCCUUAGCUAAAAUGGAAUCAGAAUUUCGGCCAUCCUUAGCUGAAAUGAAAUCAAGAAUUUUGGUUGAAAUGGAAACUUACUCCAAAGUACUCCAAAGUAAAGACAAGACUAAUGUUAGUCAAGAUCUUGGUCCAAAGUUAGGUAGUUGAUUGAGACUUGUGAAGACAAGACAUAAUGUCUAUUUAUUGACCAAAAUAUCUCUUCUUUUCUCCUUCAAGAAUCGGCCAAGACAAGGAAGAAGUGAAGGAAAAAUGGUGAUGAAAAUGAUAGCUUAGUCUUAGUCAAGUUUUUGUCAAACUUUGUAGGCUUGUUGACCAUUGGCAAUAAAAUGAGAAAUGUCUAUCCCUUUGUCUCCCUUAUUUAUUUAUUUUUUUUAGUAUUUCUAAUCACAUACUUAAUAUCAUCUAAAAUUCACUAUUAAUCACCAAAUUUUAUCGCAUUAGUGGGUCCCACGUCUAUAAUGCGUUUCAAAUUUGACAUACACUAACUCAUACUAGGAAAAUGAUUUUAAAACUGUACUUGCCUGUAAAAAUGCAUAGAAAUUUUAAUAUUUCCAAGGAAAGUAUAAAAUGUAGGCAAAGAAAUAAAAUAAUGUUGAGAAAAUAUGAAAAUUUUUGGGUUCCACACUCUCUCCCCCUUAAGAAAUUUCGUCCUCGAAAUUUUUACCUUCCGUUGCCUCAAAUGACCCCGGAACUUGUUGCUAGUCUACGGCAUAAACCUGUGCUGGUAUUUUCAUUCGGUUCCCUCUUUCAUUAGUUUGUUUUGAUUUGAUUCCUUCCACUUGUUGCGUACUACUCUCUCGUGGCUGUUCCUUCGAGCAAGUGCUAAGUUGAUGAUUGCUAAUCCCACAAAUCAAACACUUUCCCCCUUUUCACCAGCAAUCAUUCUCAGUGUGAUUUGCCUUUCCACAGUAUCCACAUGCCAAUCGAGGAGCUACUGUUUGACCUUCUCGAGAAAUUUCCUUUGAUUCGAUCUGACUUCCUUUCGUAAACCCUUCAUCUAAUGCUCCUAAUGUCCAUGGUGGGUAGGGUAAAGGGUUCACUUUCUGCACUUUGGAAGGUGCUAUCGAUUCACUUGGUUCCUCAGUCACACUACCAGGUGCACCCCUUUUCCGAGUUUGGGAGGCUUUUAUCUGUGCCUUCGCAGCCUCAAUUCUUUGGGCUUUCUCAAGGGCUUCCGUGAAAGUAUUAACUUGAAUCGCCGCUAGAGCUUCUUGAAUUUCUAAAUUCAAUCCCUGUAUAAACCGCUCACCCUUCUUUGUUCCGUGGCCACUAAUUCGGAAGCAAACUUAGACAAUUUGGUAAAUUUCGUUUCAUAUUCGGCCACACUUUGAGUUCCUUGGCGUAAUCCAAUAAACUCAUCCUCCCUCCUUUCUUGGACUAAAGGUGGGAGAUACUUUUCGUUAAAUUCUCUUAAGAAGUUAGCCCAUGUCCAUACGGUUUGUUCUCUUUCCCACUUUGCCUUAAUCACGUUCCACCAUGCUCGGGCCGGUCCUUCAAAUUGAAAUAUCGCAAAGUUCACUUGUCUUUGUUCGUAUAGUUUAAAACUGUAAAGAUGUUGAUCAUGACCUCCAACCACUGUUCAUCUAUGUCCGGAUCAGGCCCUCCAAGGAAUUUCGGAGGGACAAAUUUUUGAAACCUCUCAAGAGCCCGAUCUUCUCCUAUCUCAGGGUUCUAGGAUUGAUUCACAGGCAUUUGACCUUGUUGGUCCACCAAUCUUGCUAAAAUAUUUGUCAUUUGUUGUAUAGCCGUCGCCAUUUGGUCCCUGGCUUCAACCCUCGUUCCUCGUUCUAGCUCAGCUAUUGUUUCCCUUUUGUCUCUUGGCUCUAGAGCUCGCUUAGUCCCACGACUACGACCACGACCACGACCACGUCCACGUCUCCCUUCCAUACCCUUUUCUCUCUCUCUCUCUCUCUCUCUUUUCUUUUUCAAAAGUAAUUUAAUGGAUAAACGGAGUAAAUUAACUAAAAUAACAAAUUCGAACACACCAAUUAUACAAAUAAACAUAAACACGACAUGAUACAACAUAUACACAAAGAGACAUAUCAAGUUCAACAGAUAAUCAAAAGUAGUCAAUAUUACACAGGUAACAUACCACAAACAAAAGUCAUGUAAUAACAUUACAAGGGCCAAUCAAAAGAAAAGGCGAUAUAUCAUCCCAUACGCAGUUAAGAUAACCCCGUCCGGUCUCUCACAUCACUUUCUAUUCAAACUAAACGUCCGUUGACUUCUUGUACUCAUUCUAGUCAAACAAAGCCUGUUAAUGUUUCCAAACUGCAAGUUUUAAGCACUUAGUACCGCUUCAACUCUGGAGUACUCGGGCACUAGAAUCCGAAAUAAAAUAAUUCACAUCUCGAGCUGGCCAGUCCCAAGAGUAAACUAUUUACAAUCGAGAUUCCUAUCUGACAUACCUAUCAAUGGUCCUCAAAUACUGGGAGAAAGAUUUAAGACCUAUAACAAUUCAUGACUCCAUAGUUUAAGCUCAACGAGCACUUAAUCCUUCAUACUCAUUCACCACUUAACCCGAUCUCACUCCGCGCAGAGACCACGCGAAACAGGCUCUGAUACCAACUGUGACGGCCCCACCUUCCCCUAAGGCAAACCAAAGGAUUUGGCGGACCGCCUGCCCAACUCUCGUUGGAACUCAGUCAUUCACCUCAAGGAAUUGAAGAUAAAAUUUACAAAACAAGCGAAUAACGAUCCCAAACUUAAAACAUAAACUUAUAUACAUUCCAAUCUCCAAAGAAAUUACAAAAUUUAAAUAUACAAAGGUUCCCAAUUU